rnacentral:rRNA from 1 species
AGUGAACGCUGGCGGUAGGCCUAACACAUGCAAGUCGAACGGCAGCACAGUAAGAGCUUGCUCUUACGGGUGGCGAGUGGCGGACGGGUGAGGAAUACAUCGGAAUCUACUUUUUCGUGGGGGAUAACGUAGGGAAACUUACGCUAAUACCGCAUACGACCUACGGGUGAAAGCAGGGGAUCUUCGGACCUUGCGCGAUUGAAUGAGCCGAUGUCGGAUUAGCUAGUUGGCGGGGUAAAGGCCCACCAAGGCGACGGUCCGUAGCUGGUCUGAGAGGAUGACCAGCCACACUGGAACUGAGACACGGUCCAGACUCCUACGGGAGGCAGCAGUGGGGAAUAUUGGACAAUGGGCGCAAGCCUGAUCCAGCCAUACCGCGUGGGUGAAGAAGGCCUUCGGGUUGUAAAGCCCUUUUGUUGGGAAAGAAAAGCAGCAGGUUAAUACCCCGCUGUUCUGACGGUACCCAAAGAAUAAGCACCGGCUAACUUCGUG